UAGUGCCAUAUAACAACCAGCUGCUUAUAAUUACACAUCUUCAGUGUAUCGCGCAGCUGUUAAACAAACCGAUCGAUGGAGAUCAAGUUUGUCCGACCAUCCUUACAAAUGCCUGUCCGAACAAUAAUGUUACCACCAUAGCUUUUCCGGGGUGAAAAUAUUGUGGAGAUAUAUCGCUCUCUUGUUAUUCCUCUCUCGGCCUUCAGAAGUCCUCAAACAAAACCUCCGCAAACAAGAUUUAGACAAAUUCAUGUGAUUUCUUGCGAAACUUCACCGAACAUCCCUGCCUUCUCGCAUUUGUAGAAUGGUGAUUACGGAGUACAUCCUAAACAGUAAAACGAUCAUCUGAGAAGAGACGACGGCCACCUGAUCCAUUCUUGAGUAUUCUCCAGUAUCUUGAUAGCGAUGGAAGACUAUUCCGUUGUCCUGGGGACGUUAACUAUCGUACAUACGCUUGAUGUCUCUAAAUGAGCUCUAAAAGAUAAAUUUUCUGUGGAUCGUCGUGUCGAUAGUCAUGCUGAGUUGGAAGUCUCAGUAGUUGUACGGAUACCUGGACAAGUUGGGCUGCAAAAGCAGUAUCGAUAGAUGGCACCCAGAAUGUCUAAACCGCAGAAGAAAAUGUCCGGAAUUCAGAGAAAGUUCCAUAUAGAGAGCGAGUCGUAUGAGACACCCGAUAUAAUAAUUGUGCAGGAGUCAUCGAAACUUUGUGUCCCCAGUUCCGAUUGUUUUGAGAAA